AGUGAACGCUGGCGGUAGGCCUAACACAUGCAAGUCGAACGGCAGCACAGUAAGAGCUUGCUCUUACGGGUGGCGAGUGGCGGACGGGUGAGGAAUACAUCGGAAUCUACUUUUUCGUGGGGGAUAACGUAGGGAAACUUACGCUAAUACCGCAUACGACCUACGGGUGAAAGCAGGGGAACUUCGGACCUUGCGCGAUUGAAUGAGCCGAUGUCGGAUUAGCUAGUUGGCGGGGUAAAGGCCCACCAAGGCGACGAUCCGUAGCUGGUCUGAGAGGAUGAUCAGCCACACUGGAACUGAGACACGGUCCAGACUCCUACGGGAGGCAGCAGUGGGGAAUAUUGGACAAUGGGCGCAAGCCUGAUCCAGCCAUACCGCGUGGGUGAAGAAGGCCUUCGGGUUGUAAAACCCUUUUGUUGGGAGAGAAAAGCAGCAGGUUAAUACCCCGCUGUUCUGACGGUACCCAAAGAAUAAGCACCGGCUAACUUCGUG
rnacentral:rRNA from 1 species